AUUGAACGCUGGCGGCAGGCCUACCACCUGCAAGUCGCACGAGUGGCGGACGGGUGAGUAAUGUCUGGGAAACUGCCUGAUGGAGGGGGAUAACUACUGGAAAAGGUAGCUAAUCCCGCAUACCAUCGGAUGUGCCCAGAUGGGGUUAGCUAGUAGGUGGGGUAAAGGCUCACCUAGGCGACGCUCCCUAGCUGGUCUGAGAGGAGGACCAGCCACACUGGAACUUAGACACGGUCCAGACUCCUACUGGAGGCAGCAGUGGGGAAUAGUGCACAAUGGGCGCAAGCCUGAUGCAGCCAUGCCGCUUGUGUGAAGAAGGCCUUCGGGUUGUAAAGUACUUUCAGCGAGGAGGCGUUACCCGCAGAAGAAGCACCGGCUAACUCAGUGCCAGCCGCCGCGGUAAUAC
rnacentral:rRNA from 1 species